CAGUUUUCAAGAUAUAACGUUUACAAAUUUCCCGAUUUUCAGUAGAUACGACUCGGUUUGAGUGGCAAGUCGUAAAAGCGGCCCUAUUGUUGCGGUUUCUUAUUCUUUGGGUCUGCCGUUUCUAGCGUAGACCCCCGCUGUGGCACUUGCCGCUAAAAUAGGGUCACUUUUACGACUUGCUACUCAAACCGGGACGUAUCUACUGAAAAUCGGGAAAAUCGUUAUAUCUUGAAAACUGAUUAAAAUCGAGUGUAUACAUUAUAGCUUAAUGAAUUCGUCUUGAGAAGCACUAUUACAUGAUCUGAAAAAAAAUAUAUGGUUCCAUUUAUAAAAUAAAACUUGACCAUCAUAUCUUUUAAACUAAUAAUGUAAAUAAAUUUUCGUUCACACCAAGACAUAGGCUUCAUUGAACCGUGCAAUUUCCAUAUAUACAAUUUUUCAUAUCAUCAAUAGUUACGAAAUAAAACGCCUGUCACACUUUAGCGGGGACACCCCGUAUACCCGGAUACGAUGGCCAAAAGUGCCCCCAAACCAAAUUCGACUCGUAAUGGCUCAUUCGAUAGCUUGUCAAAAAAAAACAAUCUGUGUCAAGUUUCAGCCCUGUAUCUGGGGGGGGGUACAGGAUUGCCUCGAAAUAAUCAAGUGGCUCGGGACCGAACAGUUGCUUAUUUCGAAACAGGUAUGCUAUUCGACUGUAUAUAUAUUCCAUCCUUCUUUUACUGACCGAUGUCACUGCUCAGUCAAGCGUUUAUUACCCUAACCAUUGGCUUCCCGCAUUCAUGGACCUCACACUCAUUUCUCGUACCUCUCUGUUCGCGUUUCGCAGUGUUUUUGCAUGUUCAGCAUGUUGCCUAUCUAGCAUGUCGAGCAUGUGUGGCUUUUGCAUGUUGAGCUCGAGGGGUUAGAUUUAUAUUUGGCGCUGCGCGGGGGUGCAUGCGGGGUCGCUGUCACGCAGCAAGGCGCAGGCGCGAGCGACGGAUCGGUGGUGGCGAUGUAUGGCCCGGGGCUGGGCCCAGGCAUUGAGACCGUGAUCGGUACUCUGUGCAAUUGGAACGUUUUGUUGUGUUUUUUGAAUUACGAUUUGUGCCACAGUUUUGAUUUUAAUCAGACUUUAAACGUGUGGCGAGUGCGAUUGUGCGUGCGUCCUCUGUUCUGAAGCACUACGUGCUGUCGUGUGUUCUACACGGCCCGGCGAUCUUGUGGGAGAGUCAGACGGCCAACUGUGUGCAGUGAUUGGUACGGCACAGUGCGGCGAUCGGCUGGUUCUGUUCACCUGGCUAGCCGUGCAGAGAGUGACGCGUGUUUACGGUCACUCUGUCCCCGAUUGCGCGACCCUUCCUGUGAUCAGGAAGUUUCUUUUCGCGAGGACCACGGCGAUCUGCGGUGACGGCGGCGAGGCGCCAUUCCAUUAAGAUUUAGGCAUUCAAUUUGAUUUAAUUUUCUUUUAUUGGGAUCAGGCUUUUUCCCCACUUUCGACUGGGGUUUUUUACAGCCGGUACCCGUAGAGUAGAGGCAUUUAAUUUUCAAUCAAAUAAAUACAUUUAUUUUCUUUUGUUCUUCUAACAUAA